rnacentral:rRNA from 1 species
UACGUAGGGUGCGAGCGUGUCCGGAAUUAUUGGGCGUAAAGGGCUCGUAGGCGGUCUGUCGCGUCGGGAGUGAAAACUCAGGGCUUAACCCUGAGCCUGCUUCCGAUACGGGCAGACUAGAGGUAUGCAGGGGAGAACGGAAUUCCUGGUGUAGCGGUGAAAUGCGCAGAUAUCAGGAGGAACGCCGGUGGCGAAGGCAGGUCACUGGGCCGCAACUGACGCUGAGGAGCGAAAGCAUGGGGAGCGAACGG